rnacentral:rRNA from 1 species
UAGUCCACGCCCUAAACGAUGCUAACUCGAUAUCUGCAUUUAUGUGGGUGUCUAAGGGAAACCAAUAAGUUAGCCACCUGGGGAGUACGUUCGCAAGAAUGAAACUCAAAGGAAUUGACGGGGGCCCGCACAAGCGGUGGAGCAUGUGGUUUAAUUCGAUGAUACGCGAGGAACCUUACCAGGGCUUAAAUGCAUAUUGACAGGUCUAGAGAUAGAUUUUCCUUCGGGCAAUUUGCAAGGUGCUGCAUGGUUGUCGUCAGCUCGUGCCGUGAGGUGUCAGGUUAAGUCCUAUAACGAGCGCAACCCCUACCGUUAGUUGCCAGCAUGUCAUGAUGGGGACUCUAACGGGACUGCCGGUGCAAACCGUGAGGAAGGUGGGGAUGACGUCAAAUCAUCACGGCCCUUACGUCCUGGGUCACACACGUGCUACAAUGGUAGGUACAGAGAGCAGCCACGUCGCAAGGCGGAGCGAAUCUAUAAAACCUAUCACAGUUCGGAUCGGGGU